GGGCAAUGCUUGCAGGGCUACCAUGCAGUCGAACGGUAACAGGAAGCAGCUUGCUGCUUUGCUGACGAGUGGCGGACGGGUGAGUAAUGUCUGGGAAACUGCCUGAUGGAGGGGGAUAACUACUGGAAACGGUGGCUAAUACCGCAUAACGUCGCAAGACCAAAGAGGGGGACCUUCGGGCCUCUUGCCAUCAGAUGUGCCCAGAUGGGAUUAGCUUGUUGGUGAGGUAACGGCUCACCAAGGCGACGAUCCCUAGCUGGUCUGAGAGGAUGACCAGCCACACUGGAACUGAGACACGGUCCAGACUCCUACGGGAGGCAGCAGUGGGGAAUAUUGCACAAUGGGCGCAAGCCUGAUGCAGCCAUGCCGCGUGUAUGAAGAAGGCCUUCGGGUUGUAAAGUACUUUCAGCGGGGAGGAAGGUGUUGUGGUUAAUAACCGCAGCAAUUGACGUUACCCGCAGAAGAAGCACCGGCUAACUCCGUGCCAGCAGCCGCGGUAAUACGGAGGGUGCAAGCGUUAAUCGGAAUUACUGGGCGUAAAGCGCACGCAGGCGGUCUGUCAAGUCGGAUGUGAAAUCCCCGGGCUCAACCUGGGAACUGCAUUCGAAACUGGCAGGCUUGAGUCUUGUAGAGGGGGGUAGAAUUCCAGGUGUAGCGGUGAAAUGCGUAGAGAUCUGGAGGAAUACCGGUGGCGAAGGCGGCCCCCUGGACAAAGACUGACGCUCAGGUGCGAAAGCGUGGGGAGCAAACAGGAUUAGAUACCCUGGUAGUCCACGCCGUAAACGAUGUCUACUUGGAGGUUGUGCCCUUGAGGCGUGGCUUCCGGAGCUAACGCGUUAAGUAGACCGCCUGGGGAGUACGGCCGCAAGGUUAAAACUCAAAUGAAUUGACGGGGGCCCGCACAAGCGGUGGAGCAGGUGGUUAAAUUCGAUGCAACGCGAAGAACCUUACCUGGUCUUGACAUCCACAGAACUUUCCAGAGAUGGAUUGGUGCCUUCGGGAACUGUGAGACAGGUGCUGCAUGGCUGUCGUCAGCUCGUGUUGUGAAAUGUUGGGUUAAGUCCCGCAACGAGCGCAACCCUUAUCCUUUGUUGCC
rnacentral:rRNA from 1 species